CAGCUCUGUGUACAACCGUGGUGAACCCAAUGAAAAAGGGAGUUGCAGGGUCACCCGCUCCUACGAGAUUCAGAUCUCGGCUACCUCUCAAUGGUUUCCCCAGGGCCGUUUGAAGGAAUUUGGGGGCCACAAGCAAAAUGGACAUGGAGGCCCCACACGCACGCAAAGCCUACAGGAACCACAGCAUAGCCAUACAGUUUAAGUUCAC